rnacentral:tRNA from 1 species
UUCUUGACCAUGUGGGGUACCUGAUAGGUUAAAAAAAAAAGAAGUGCACCACGUGUAGAACGGUGCCUGUGUCUUGAGCAGCGACUUCUGGGUUAGCAUAAAGAAUACAUCUGUGCUUUUCCUGGGCUAUCUCCUAUAGCCUUCUCAGACUCUCACUCUCAGGCCAACUGUGAUGAGAGCAGCAAGUUGAAAUUCUAUUGACCAUGGUGAGAGUAAGUGCUGGGUUCAGAGGUUACCGUCUCCUCCCUUCCAGAGGCUAGGCUGGUGUCAGGCCCUGGGCUCCCUACAACCGAUAAGUACCCAAACUAGGCAUAUAUGGACUUCUGGACCACCAGCCAAGAAUGUAGUGAAAGGAACCUUUCUUCCAAGGGAGACUUCUGCUCCAGUCUUGGGUGAAGACUUGUUCAUAGAGUGAAUGUAGACUUGGGAUCAGUGAAGGAAAAAGAGUGAAAAGAAACUUGUGAAGAAGCAGAGCAGAAAGAUGUGCAACCAAAUGGAGACAGGCUACCCUGGAUUCCAGGUUAAUCAAAUCACAUUAGAUAAAAGUUUAUGCACUCAGCAAGUAUUUUUGAACGAACAUGAGCCAGGCAAAAUGAAACUGAAAAAUGAAAGGUGAAAAAGACCACAGUACUGGUCUCUCCCCUAGGAGAACUUGCUGUCUAGAGUAAGAGGGAGAGCUUAUUAAAUGAGAAUUAAAUUAUGAGGUGGUGUGAGAAGGAGAUUGAGGGUGUUGAGGAGACAUAGAUGGGGCAUCUAAGCUCCUAUAAAGGGAGCCCAGUGAAGGCCUCAGUAAGAAGGUCUGGAAGGUCUAAGUUAAUAUUUGAAGAAUGAGUAAAAGAACUAGCUCUCAUAACGUGAGGGUAGAGGGGAGAACAAAAAUGUGUUGCAAGUAGAAAAUGAGAAGAGAGGGAAAAAACAAAGAAUAGAAAUAAUUUUACCAUGGCCGGUGACUAAAAGCUAAUUUUGGGCUCUGUGUGUGGCAGGAAUGGUGAUGGAUGAGGCUGGAGUUGUGUGCAAGUUAGGGUAGCAAUCACUAAAAUGCAAAAAAUCUAUCUCAAGCAAAAGGGAAAGGACUUGUGUGAGAGUCUCUAAGACGACAGCAAGGCCUGUGUGCUGAUGAGCUGCUGCCAGCAGUUUGACAGUACCAUGCCUAUCAACUUAAUCAAAGUGCAGAGGCUUUACCAAAAAUAAGUCUAAGAAAGAACUUGAGAAAUUUGCAACCAGGAUAGGAUGAGGUAGCCUGACCAUUUGCUAAUCCAGUACACUUUUCAUGUGUGGGCUUGAAUCCCAUCCUCACUGAAAGUGUUCCAUGGAGAGUGAAGCCUGGAGGGACAACAGUACCACUACAAGUUUGUUAACCUCAAAUCAGAUAUUUAUCACUUCUCAUGUUAGAUACUUUUUUUUCCCAGAGAUAGAGUAAUGUGGUCAUUCUUUUAAAAACAGGCAUUUCUCUAUUAUGCACACAUACAUGCCUUUCUAGGAAUCAAGACAUGGGGAGACAUUUCAGACAGGCGCCUCUGUCCCAUCUGUGUCUGGGAACAGGUUACAGAAUUAGGGAGUUGUUCCUGGUAGUGUUGAUUGUGCACAUGGGCUUUGCUUCCACAGGUGGUCUCACACUUCUGAGGACUGACAUAGAUACUACUGCUAAGAAGAUACUAUGAUGUAUGGUGGACUGGAUUACAAGGAAUCACUCUAGUUUUAAGAGACAAGAUAACUGGCAGAAGUGGGAAAAAAAAAAAAAAAAGAGCCAAGAAGGUCCCACCGAGAUUUGAACUCGGAUCGCUGGAUUCAAAGUCCAGAGUGCUAACCAUUACACCAUGGGGCCACCUAUAAGCCUGCUUAUGAAGUUUUUCUUCUGACAAAUAUUUAUCCCUGAGUCACUAGCUCUUAACUGCUAAGUAUGAAAUAAUGGGUUUUUAAACAAAACUGUACUGCCCUCUACAGGAGUAUUUUGGAAAUGCCUGGGUGUUUUGCUUGUUUCAAUGACUGGGGCACAACUGGCUUUCACAGGUCAGAACCAGAGAUACUGGGAAUCUUGCAAUGCUCAGGACAAUACUGCAUAAAGAAUUAACCAUAGGAGUGCACAAUUUUUGCAAAACGACCUUGGAUCUUUCAUCUAGGUUUUCUGGGGCCUUUUCUAAUAGU